AUUGAACGCUGGCGGCAGGCCUAACACAUGCAAGUCGAGCGAGCGGCGGACGGGUGAGUAAUGCCCGGGAAUUGCCCAGUCGAGGGGGAUAACAGUUGGAAACGACUGCUAAUACCGCAUACGAUUGGAAUGCCCAGGUGGGAUGAGCUAGUUGGGGAGGUAAUGGCUAACCAAGGCGACGAUCCCUAGCUGGUCUGAGAGGAUGGUCAGCCACACGGGAACGUAGACACGUGCCAGACUCCUACGGUAGGGAGAAGUGGGGAAUAUUGCACAAUGGGGGAAACCCUGAUGCAGCCAUGCCGCGUGUGUGAAGAAGGCCUUCGGGUUGUAAAGCACUUUCAGCGAGGAGGCGUUACUCGCAGAAGAAGCACCGGCUAACUCCGUGCCAGCAGCCGCGGUAAUAC
rnacentral:rRNA from 1 species